AGGCUUGCUUAAAAGGAAAGCAGGAGAAGAAAAAACAUCUGCGGAAAUUGAGAGAGAGGUCAACAAGCUCCCGACAAGAUCUGCUGAAAAACAGUGAAGGAAGGGAGAGGGAGGAUUGAGAUAGAGUGGGGAGUGUCACAGAACCUGAGAAAUGGAAAGAGAAGAAAGGAAUUAAACGAGGAAGAAAAAGAACUCAGAAGCAAGCUGGAAGCUAUGAAGCACUAGUUAAAGCGACACAAAGUGUGCUGGUGUGGUGGCACAUCCUUGCAGUCCCAUGCUGACCCUAGUGGAACCCUGAAUUCUGAGCUGAAGGACCAACAUUCUCCAGACUGGAAUUCCAGAGAUUAUUCAGUACUUCCCCACCCC